ACUUCUUACCAAGAACUCCUUAACUUGAGGGUGAACAACUUAAAGCUUGAUCCUACAGUUACCUGAAAAGUGAUUUGAGUAUUCAUUGAACUGAAAGAACAAAUCGCCUACUUCAGGCGGUGGCAAGCGUAUGGAAAUUAUAUUAGAACUUCAGCAAAGUGCACAGCUGCAUAAUAGAGAAGCCGGCACUCAGAUUGACAGGCAAAUAAGCCAGCUUGUGGAAGGGGCCUCUGGGUGGCAGCUCUGGGCUUUUGGGUGUUGGACAACCAUAGGCAAAACUGAAAUGGAACAGGGGCAGAAAAUAGCACACUUUUACUCUACGCAACUGUUGCUUUUUCAUGAUCUUCAGGAAUUUUACUGGGAUAAUUAUCCAAAUAAAUUGCAAGCAUUCUAUCCAAAUGGAGCUCUUUCUGAGAUGAAGAGAAUUCUCAAUGUCAAGAUUUGAACAAGAAGAGAAUGGAAUACACAAUAUGGACAUCCAUAAAAAUUCAUCAGAGAGCAUUUUACUACUGAGCUGCAAAGGGAAAAACUUAAAAUGGAUAUGAAAAGUGAAGAAAGUGAUCAUAGGAGAAAACCAUUUCAGAUGACAAGAGCACCUCAAAGGCAGCAGCCUCAAGGAGCAGCCAUGGCCCCAGACUUGUCGCACGGAUGCAGAAAACUUAAUGGAGGAGGCUGAGGUCAGAAUGGGAAGAGUUUUUAAAAAAUAAAAAGGGGAGCUAAUAUGUGAGGAACUGAUUGCUGUGCAUUAUUUUCCACUGAACAGACCUUCUUUUAACUUCUAAUCUCAAGCACAUAGCAGCUGUUGUUUUCAU
rnacentral:lncRNA from 1 species